UGGGGAAUAUUGCGCAAUGGGCGGAAGCCUGACGCAGCAACGCCGCGUGGGUGAUGAAGGCCUUCGGGUCGUAAAGCCCUGUCGGGAGGGACGAAACCUCGGUGACCUAAUACGUCACCGACCUGACGGUACCUCUUAAGGAAGCACCGGCUAACUCCGUGCCAGCAGCCGCGGUAAUACGGAGGGUGCGAGCGUUGUUCGGAAUUACUGGGCGUAAAGCGUGCGCAGGCGGUCUUGCAAGACAGUGGUGAAAUCCCCGGGCUCAACCUGGGAACUGCCAUUGUGACUGCAAGGCUGGAGUACGGCAGAGGGGGAUGGAAUUCCGCGUGUAGCAGUGAAAUGCGUAGAUAUGCGGAGGAACACCGAUGGCGAAGGCAGUCCCCUGGGCCUGUACUGACGCUCAUGCACGAAAGCGUGGGGAGCAAACA
rnacentral:rRNA from 1 species